GAAUUAGCAGCAUCAAAUUACUUAGUGCUUAUUGAAUUCUUUCGCGAAGACAAUGAAGAGGGUAAAAAUGAAGAAGAUGAAAUGAUGCAUGUAUUGGCUUUAGGUGAAGAAUGCAGGUACAUUCAAGAAGAUCACACGUGUCACUUGGAAAUCGUUUGAUGCUUUUUUGGGUCUAAUAAAGGGAGCCGAUCUUUUCAACCAAACUCGAUCGUGGAAACCCAACUAGCAAUUGUGUUGUAUGGCUUAGGCUCUAAAGGUGAAGGAGGUACUCUGUCAAAGGUUGCAGGCUUAUUUGGAAUCAGUAAUGGUGGUAUCAUUCAGAAUUUAACCGAACGCAUCUUCAAUGCGUUAUUAAAACAUAAGGACCAGUAUUUACUUUGGCCAAAUACGGAAGAACGCAACAAGCUCGUUUCUGAAACUUGGAGUGAAUUACAUACCUAACUGCGUAGGAUAUGUGGAUGGUACCGAAAACCAUUGGCAGGAAAACCUUUACAAAGUCCGGAAGCGUACUUUUCACGAAAGCACAUCUACUCCGUUAAGGCACAAGCCGUGUUCGCAUAGAUUGCAAAUAAGACACUUGCAGAUACAUUUUUGGGAGAAGGUGAAUGGAUCGCAGGCGACAGUGCAUAUAAAUUAUCUAAUACUGUUAUAACGCCAUUUAGAGAAAAUUCUAGAAAUUUAACCCCAGUGAAAGGAAUUUGUUUAACAAAGUGUUCAGUCGAUAUAGAACUCAAAAUUAACACUGUUUUGGAAUGCUGAACGAAAGAUUUGGUAGUUUAAAAAGCUUAAGGCUCCAAAACAAAAAUGCAAAUGACAUAAGACAUUAAGGGAGUAUUCUGGUCUAGAAGCAUGAAUUUCAGGUAAUUUUUAAAGUGUCGUAAAAAAAAGCAAUUAAUAUUUUUACUAUCCAUUUUAUAGCUGACGAAGUGGGGGGUCUCUAAAAAUUUCCACGUGACCAUACCCAUGAUUUCAACCCUCCUAUUUAUCUGAAACCAAAAAACAAAAAAAAGAUUAUUAAUCUAGAAUAAUGUUGCAAUGGCCGGAACUACGGACAAGUACCAACAAAGUUUUUUCACAAAAUGGCGACUGCCUGAAAAACAAAGUUUUUUUGGAUAACUUUUUCUGACUAUUUCGAAGUUUUUAAAAAUAAUAAAAAUAAAAAUUUGGGGAUGGGGCUAGUUCCAACCAUAGACAAACCUAUAAAGAAGACUCUAUAAAAAUUUCAAGUAAAUCGGUCCAGUAGAACCUGAGAAAUCGUGGGUAUCGUUCCGAAAAAGACAGUUUUGAGAAAAACGCGUUUAAAGUUUCGCGUAAAGUUUUUUGCAGUCUAGGUCUAAGGCCGAACCAGUUUGGAUGUCGGGUCAGAAAAAUGCCUAUAUCUCCGAAAAUAAUUUGAAUUUUGAAAAUCCUCUGGUACACAUAUUCUUGAAUAGUUAAACUUUGAAAAUAUAAAAAAAUUUUCGAUUUUUUUAAAUUUCUAGACCAGAAUACCCCUUAAUGCGAUGAUUACUUCGAUUACCAAUCUAAUGAAUUGGAGCACGAUAUUGAUGAGUCUUUAUCAAGUGCUCGUUCCCAUGAAGGUGAGAUAAGACGACGAACAAUCUUUGAACUAUUGA